GGGGUUAUAGCUCAGUGGCAGAGCACAUGCUUAGCACACACGAGGUAGGUCCUGGGUUCAACCCUAAGUACCUCCA
rnacentral:tRNA from 1 species